GGGGUGAUAGAAGCACUAGCUAUCCAUGUUUGGUCACAUCUUUUGAGCUUAAGUGGGUCUAAGUUGAUCUUGUAGUUUCUUUUGCUAGCAUGGAUUUAGUGGGGUGGAUGCCUCCCCCUCACCACAUGUUUUGAUGUGAUGUGAUGUUCUAGGUGACUAUCUAUGUUAGCAUGUGUAGGUGUGGAUUCCUAGUUAAGCUAGGGUAGAUUGUUGUGGGGGUUGCAUUUUGAGGAUGACAUGAUUCCUAGGAAGAUCCUAGUAAUGCAUGUGAGUGUGUGUGCCAUCACAUGCCCAUAUGUGGGGGGUGCAUACUCUCUUGU
rnacentral:lncRNA from 1 species